rnacentral:rRNA from 1 species
GUCCACGCCCUAACGAUGCCAACUAGGUGUUGGGAAGGAGACUUCCUUAGUACCGUAGCUAACGCGUGAAGUUGGCCGCCUGGGGAGUACGGUCGCAAGAUUAAACUACAAGGAAUUGACGGGGACCCGGCACAAGCGGUGGAUGAUGUGGAUUAAUUCGAUGCAACGCGAAAACCUUAACCUACCCUUGACAUGCCAGGAACUUGCCAGAGAUGGCUUGGUGCUCGAAAGAGAGCCUGGACACAGGUGCUGCAUGGCUGUCGU